rnacentral:rRNA from 1 species
GAGUUUGAUCCUGGCUCAGGAUGAACGCUAGCGGCAGGCCUAAUACAUGCAAGUCGAACGGGUGCUAGCAAUAGCACUAGUGGCGCACGGGUGCGUAACGCGUAACCAACCUACCCUUGACUGGGGGAUAGCCCGCCUAAAGGCGGAUUAAUACCGCAUAAGACUACAGAGGGGCAUCUCUUAGUAGUUAAAGAUUUAUUGGUCAAGGAUGGGGUUGCGUAGCAUUAGCUAGAUGGCGAGGUAACGGCUCACCAUGGCGACGAUGCUUAGGGGACCUGAGAGGGUGAUCCCCCACACUGGSACUGAGAUACGGGCCAGACUCCUACGGGAGGCAGCCGUAGGGAAUAUUGGGCAAUGGCCGAGAGGCUGACCCARSCAUGCCGCGUGCCGGAUGAAGGCCUUCUGGGUUGUAAACGGCUUUUCUUAGGGAAGAAAAAGCCCCUGCGGGGGACACUGACGGUACCUAAGGAAUAAGCACCGGCUAACUCCGUGCCAGCAGCCGCGGUAAUACGGAGGGUGCWAGCGUUGUCCGGAUUUAUUGGGU